rnacentral:lncRNA from 1 species
AUUACGGCAUCCCUCUUCACAAUUCGAAUUUUGAGAACAUAGCAAAUAAAACAUUAUGCGUCGUGUCCCAUACGCUUCGGGUAUAGGAUCGAUUGCAAAUGCUUUAAUGUUUGACCAUUCUAAAAUUUUCCAAAUGUCGAGCGCAUUUAGAGGGAAAAGGGACUAGAAUUGGUUUUGACUAAAAUAAUUAAACAACUAUCAAAGGACAAUCCAAAGUUCGACGAGGAUUGGUUGCUUGUGAGUAGUUGGAAGCAUGGUAUUGAAUGGACCAUAUCGACAUUAUUAUGAAUAGAAAAAAUUCUAUUAAGAAUAAGUGGUCAUAUGGAAAAUAUGGAAAUUUUUCCAUAUUAGAUGGACCAUAUCGACAAUAUCAUGAAUAGAAAAGAUUCUAUUAAGAAUGAGUUGUCAUAUGGAAAAUAUGGAAGCGUGUCCAUGUUGGGAAUUGAAUACUGAAAAUCUAUGACUAGAUUAGGAACUUUUAUGCAAAAGGAUGUUCAAAGGAAUGUACUUUGAGUGAGAGACAUCAUAUCUAAGGAAUUGUCUUGUAACAAUCUCCGAUAGAGGACUUUGUAAUAUCAUUGGCAAUAGUCUUUGUGACUUUGGUGCAGUGACAUUACGAAAGGAAAGUUGCAUAAAAUGUUAGAAUCUAGCAUAUUCUAUAAGUAGCAAGAAUUUGAUAUUCUUUCACUUAGAAAAAGGAUUUGGAGUUGUGAAAUGAGAAUGAUUGGAAAUGUGUUCAAUGUGAUCUAUUUCACAAAGUAAGAACCAUAGGUAAACAUUGUGUGCAUGCUAGGAGCAUGGGACAAGUGUAGUAAUUCAAGUAAGAAGUUGAUUACCCGAAACGACAAAUAAUGAGUAAUCAAUAUGGUGAUAAAUAAAAGUCGAUUUAUUUUUACUCAAAGGUUUGAGGCCAUAUGGGAUUAAUAUUAUUCUUGUGUUUCACAUUUGCAUGUUUUGACUUCCAGAAUAAUUGAGUUUAUUAAUGAGUAAUCAAUAUGGUGAUAAAUAAAAGUCGUUAUGAGUAAUCAAUAUGGUGAUAAAUAAAAGUCGUUUUAUUUAUACUCAAAGGUUUGAGGCCAUAUGGGAUUAGUAUUAUUCUUGUGUUUCACAUUUGCAUGUUUUGACUUCCAGAAUAAUUGAGUUUAUUAAGAAUAAUCGAAUUAUUCGAACGGGCCACAGUCGUUCAUAUGUUGGAAGUAGAUAUGAAUGAAGACUGUCGUGAAUUGGUGUGUGGAUUGUCUAAAAGAGUAUUAGACAUAAGCAAAUGUUUGCUGCAACGUUCAUGAGUGCUUAUGAAUAUGAUUUGAGCAUUGGAUUAAACCCACGCUCACUUGGAUCACUCCAUGAAUUGUAUCACGAGUGAUUGGUGAGACGAUAACAUCUUAUAUUCUUGAAACUGAGAUGUGUGAGUUGUAUCUUGCAAAUCGGUUGCACAUUGAUAAUAUGUAAACGCACUAGUAACUUGGUGUUAUAAAACAUAUUGUUGUGUGUGAUUCGGUGAGUGAGUGCAAGCAAGCAUUGUAUCAAAGUUUAUCUGUUCCUUUUUUUCCAAAGUAGGAUAAAAGCGAUAUCUUUGGCCCCCUCGAUGGUUUAGUGAUGACAAACGUAAAUGCUCGGCCGGGCUAGGGCUAAUUUGAUUUGUUCAAUUAGUCAGUCGUC